AAAGCAAAAUGAAGUGGGUGUUAAGGUUUCCUGAUCAAGGAUUCUUGAAGUUGUUUGCAAAAUCACCUACUGGCCAGUUAGUUUCCUUUAACCUUAUGUUUUAUGGUACGUGCUUCUAUAUAUAGUGCGUCCAUCUUCUCAUAAUCUUCAGUGUUAGGUGAAGACCGUGAAGCAGGUGAAGAGAGGAAGCAAAUUCCCUGAAAGUGUUGGUUGGAGUCUGGAAAGAUACCAUGGAAAUAGCGCAAGUCCUUCACAUGAACAAAGGGGAUGAUGAAACUAGUUAUGCUAAAAAUUCAACAGUCCAGAGCAAGAUAAUAUCUGUUGGAAAACCAGUCAUGGAGGAAGCAAUCCUGGGAAUCUUGUGCACCCAUAUCCCAGAAAGUGUCGGCAUCGCAGACCUGGGUUGCUCCUCCGGACCCAAUGCCUUGCGAGUGAUAUUGGAGAUACUUGAUAUCAUCAACACCAAAUGCCAAGAUCUGGGUUGUCAAUCACCGGAAUUUCGGGUUUCUCUGAAUGAUCUUCCUUGGAAUGACUUCAACAGUAUUUUUAGGUUACUGCCAACGCUGUACCACAAAAUAAAGGAAGAGAAGGGUGGAAGAUUUGGGCCAUGCUUUAUAUCCGCCAUGCCUGGUUCUUUCUAUGGCAGAUUGUUUCCUAGCAGGAGUCUCCACUUUGUGCACUCUUCUUCCAGUCUUCACUGGCUCUCACAGGCUCCACCUAGUCUCAAUUGGAACCAUAGGAUGCCCAUGAACAAAGGAAAGAUCUACAUAUCAAAGACCAGCCCGAGUAGCGUCCUGGAAGCAUACUCUCAGCAAUUUCAGAAGGACUUUUCACUGUUUCUAAAAUCACGUUCAGAGGAAUUAGUUCCUGGAGGCUGCAUGGUAUUGUCAUUCAUGGGCAGGAGAUCCACUGAUCCCACUACUGAUGAGAGUUGCUACCAGUGGGAGCUGCUUGCACGAGCAUUGAUGAGCAUGGUUUCAGAGGGACUUGUUAAGGAGGAAAAAGUUGAUUCUUUCGAUGCUCCUUAUUACGCACCCUGUGCCGAAGAACUAAAGUUGGAAGUAGAAAAAGAAGGGUCAUUCAAUAUUGGUAGACUUGAAGCCUUCGAAAUCGACUGGGAUGGAGGCUCGGAUGAUAAGCAAGCUGCCUUACAAUCUCGUGGAAGGAAGGUGGCUAAGACAAUUAGAGCCGUGGUGGAGUCGAUGCUGGAAUUCCAUUUUGGCGGAGACAUAAUGGAUGAGCUAUUUAAGCGAUAUGGAGAGCUAGUGGAUGAUUAUUUGUCUAAGAACACAACCAAGUACAUCAAUCUGGUCAUUUCCAUGUUUAGAAAGGACUACUAAAAUGGGUUUCACUAGGAGAUUAGAAGGCUUGCAAUGCUCAUGAUCAGUUUGGUCAAUCUUGCAAAGUCUUCUUAUAUGUGCUAAUUUAUAAAUCAAUAUUAUUGCACUUAUUAAUAAAAAAUAUUAUUUAUUGAGCGG
rnacentral:misc_RNA from 1 species